GGUUCUAUGGUCUAGUUGGUUUAUGACUUCUGUCUAACAAGACCUUCAGAUUCCUUAAGGCAUCGGACGUAAUUGUGCACAGGCGGUCCCCGGUUCGAGCCCGGGUGGAAUCA